UUUAGCUGAGAGGUGGUGCAUGGCCGUCGUCAGUCCGUACUGUGAAGCAUCCUGUUAAGUCAGGCAACGAGCGAGACCCACGUCCACAGUUGCCAGCAUACCCUCCGGGGUGAUGGGUACACUGUGGAGACCGCCGCUGCUAAAGCGGAGGAAGGAGUGGGCAACGGUAGGUCAGUAUGCCCCGAAUCUCCCGGGCUACACGCGGGCUACAAUGGUUGGUACAAUGGGCAUCUACCCCGAAAGGGGAAGGAAAUCUCUUAAAGCCAAUCGUAGUUCGGAUUGAGGGCUGCAACUCGCCCUCAUGAAGCUGGAAUCCGUAGUAAUCGCGUUUCAACAGAACGCGGUGAAUACGUCCCUGCUCCUU
rnacentral:rRNA from 1 species